UUCCUUUUUGAUUCCCUCUUUAUUUUCAGAAAACAAUAUUUCACCAACAGUCACAGUUUCUGGCCUACACUAGUCCGGUGAGCAUUGUGAUGCCAUCCACACACCAGACAGAACAGGCCAACAUACACAUAUCAUACAUACCUCACACGAAAUCCGCCUCCUCAUUUUAAUACAGACUUAUUUACCCCACCCCUUAAUUAGGUACAAGUUAACAUUCAUUUCUUAUCAACGGUCUUGGUACCUAUUCAAGCACGGGUAACAUUUCAAGAAAUAAAAUAUAAUACUGAGGGAAUGGGGGAAAGUGAGAUGUAAAAAUAUAUCUGCACCUGCCCUGUGUUAUUAGUCCACAAAGUAUUUUAACAGGUCAUGAUAAAAGUUGAACAUACAUUUAUGAGUGAGAGAAGUCAGAGAUUUGAAAAGAAGAUAAGUAUCCUAUACUUGACUCAUCAUGUAUUCAUUAAUGCACCCACACAUGCCUGAAAGCUGUGUAGAAAUUCUACUUUCAUCCCCCAUUUUUUAAUCAGGCUCAGACAACAUGCAACCUACUGAAAUCAUGGCUUUCCCCUAUUCCAUAUACAGGUUAUCACAAUACACAGUUAAAUGGAUUGUCUAACACAACCGGUUUUUAUAUAGUCGUAGUUCUGAGCAGAGUGGGAGGGAGAAAGUAAAGAGAUGAAAGUGUCUGCCUUAUGAAAUCUUGUUGAACAGUGACAUUAUGGACUACGCUACGGAGUCCAGCCUGAAAAGACAUUACUGAAUGUAAACUCGACUGGCUAGUUAUGUUUCCCGAUGUUAGUUCAAUGAUUCUUGCAACUCGACGGUUUGCUGAACUGUAACAGUGUGACUGCACUUUUAAGGUCUGUGAAUCACUGGCUAAAAUAAAAGCGGAAACGGAGGUAGUGUGGGAGCCCUAAUACGUCUCCUAAAAAGAAGCCAGUGACUCGAGAAUGAUUUACAGGCGUUUGAAAGUUAAAUACUUAUUAUGUUCACAUUGGAAUUGGCUCAAAGGGCAAAAACCUGAGUAUAAAAUGCUGGUCACACUAACAACACACUUUGUCCCGCGCAGCACCGGCAACAUCCGGUGGUUGAAUUCUGGUGGCUUAACAUUGCGUGGUAAUAACACAAACGCCACUGGGUUCAAACUACUUUGAGGUUUCUGAGGUAAUGUAAACUUGUGGGGUGGUCAAUGGCAUGACCAGUGUGCGAUUUGAAAAUUUUAAAUAUCCUAUCAAGCUUUAAAUAAAGAGCUACAGGAGUAGCCUAAGCAUGAACAAACUACCAGACUGAAGAUGUCAGAUUGUCCUGAAUUGUCUAUAUUCUCCUGGUGCCAACCGAGAAUGUUUUUUCCAAGGCCAAAUAUAACCCAAUGUAAGAAAAUGUUGCUAGAUAUGCAACACAUGGCAUCCUGGGAUUGUUUUUGCAUUCCCCGAAUAUAUAAUUAGCGUUUGGCUGACCAUAUCAAAGUUGUAAACUGUAAAAUUAAACUGACUAGGUUAAGUAACGUAAAUUGUGCAAAACCAGCUCUAAACUCCCAGAGAUUUGCUGUCUUUGAAAAUCUAAAAAGGAAGAUCGUUUUUUCAUAUUGUACUAUAACUCCAUGUGGCUGUAAGGCCUAUUUGUAACAAUUUUUGUAACUGAUGUGGUACAAUAGAAGCAUUCCUCUUUGUGUAACAGGUCUCAUACAUCUAGAAAGACCAAUCAGAUCAUUUGUUUUCAUAAAGCAGGCACUAUCCGAAAACACUAUCUGAACACCACAGAUAAAUAUCCAUGGUCAACGACAGAGGUUAGGGGUCAAAUGGUGUAGAGGGGUCAAGGAGAAAGCUUGAGUGUCAGGGGAGGAGGAAGGCACGUCCCUUUUCUUCCACAGGACAAGAACAUAACAUCUAGGGGCUCCGGGUGCCUACUGUGUUGAAGAAAAAGAAGAGAAACAUACAAACUAUCAAAUCUGCUGCAUGACACAGCGCAGGCAGAAAUAGCAAUGCACUUAAGUAGGCAUCCAUUCA
ensembl:lncRNA